AACGGGGUCGUUUUCCAUUUACAUUUUUCGCCAAAACCCUAGCAUUUGCCUCAACACAUUUUUAUCGCCUCACACUCUCUAUUUUCACUUAGUUUCUGAUUCUUCACUUUCAUUACUUCAAACUCUCGCAGUGAUGAGACCUCCAAGAGGCCGUGGUGGUGGUGGAUUUAGGGGCAGAGGUGAUGGUGGAAGAGGGAGAGGAAGAGGAGGUGGUGGAAGAGGUGGUGAUAGGGGUGGUAGUGCCAUGAAAUCCCGCGGCGGUGGCUGUUGUCUGAGCAAAGAACGCAGGAGAUACUUUGUAUCAUUCAACCUUCUUUGGUUUCUGAACAAAAUCGACAAAAUAUUAUUGCUUACUUUCAGAGGCUAAUCAAAGGUUACUAUGGGAUUGAGGUAAACUUAAUUUUCCUUCAAAUUUUUAGCCCUAGGUUGUAAAAUGGUCUCAUUUCUGUGUGUUGGUGUUCCUUGUAUAACUGGACAAAUUCUAGAAAUUGUUUGCUUUGUCAAAUACCUUUUUAGGAGUGAAGACUUUUAUGUGAACGUUACACCUAAGGAAAUUCAAUUCCAAAGUUUUCCACAUUGAAGCAUAAUAAACUAGCCUCUGAAAUUGGUGCCUUCAUAAAAGAUUGCUCUGUCAAAUGCCCUUGUAGGAACAUCUUUACAGGUAUCCGUUUUAAUUUUUCUGUCCCAAAAUACACAGAUAUCGCCGUCAACUUCACAGAUGGCAUGUUUAAAGGCAUUUAUAACUGCAAGCAACAUCACGUUUCUGAUAUUGCUACUGU